GGGUUGGCUAACAUCCAGCUCGAUGACGGUACCCCUUUAGCAAGCACCGGCUAACUCUGUGCCAGCAGCCGCGGUAAGACAGAGGGUGCAAACGUUGUUCGGAAUUACGUGGGCGUAAAGCGCGUGUAGGCUGCUCGGAAAGUCGGAUGUGAAAGCCCUGGGCUCAACCUAGGAAGUGCAUUCGAAACUUCCGAGCUGGAGUGCUGGAGAGGAAGGCGGAAUUCUCGGUGUAGAGGUGAAAUUCGUAGAUAUCGAGAGGAACACCGGUGGCGAAGGCGGCCUUCUGGACAGCUACUGACGCUGAGACGCGAAAGCGUGGGGAGCAAACAGGAUUAGAUACCCUGGUAGUCCACGCCGUAAACGAUGGGUGCUAGGUGUCGCGGGCUUUGACCCCUGCGGUGCCGUAGCUAACGCAUUAAGCACCCCGCCUGGGGAGUACGGCCGCAAGGCUAAAACUCAAAGGAAUUGACGGGGC
rnacentral:rRNA from 1 species